GGGGCAGCCCGGCUGCGCUGAGCCCGGCCCGACCCAGCUGUGCUGAUCCCGGCCCGGGGCAGCCCGGCUGCGCUGAGCCGGGCCCGAGGAAGAAGCAGAAGUUUUAACCAUCUUCCCAUGGCAUCUGACUUUUUUGAAGAGGAGGACUUUUCAACCACUUGCUGGAAGGGAAAUAAGAAGUUUGUUUCAAGACUCUUAUGUUGUUCAUCAGUGCUGUUAACAAACGUGGGGCUUGAGGAUGCAUUUGGUGCUUCUCUGCAUUUUUGCUGAACGAAGGACCUUGCUGUCUCCCAGCUCCUGUGGGCAUUAGGUUUCAUGAAUGUCUCUUGGGAAGAGGACAGCUCUGUAGAGCCUAAGUUUCAAAAGUAAUUUUAAAGAUUGCACCCAAGAGAGAAGCAGUGAGAUGCACAGUGGGGAAAAUGAACCCAGCAGUCCAUCCUAUCCUGUACCUGCCUGAAUAUGGGAAGUGACCCAGUAGAAAGCCAGAAUGCAGCUGGGCUUGCAGUAUUUUUAACCGUAUUAAGUCCUGUUCAGAGUUAAUGAUGAGCUCAGUGAGAUGGUCUCAGCAAUGCUGAAGAAGGGAAGGACAGAAUUGGAAGGCAGGAGCUAUUUCAAAGCAGCAUUCUUCAUCUUUCUGUAAUGCCCAAACAUGAAGACUUUAUAAACUUCAUUAGUGUCAUUCCCAAAAUGAAGUAGUGUCCUUGGGCUGGUGGCAACAGCUGGAGUUGCAGAAUUCAUAAAUAAUUCAGAGAAGGAUAAAGGAUCCUGCCAUCAAUGACUGAGCCUCCCUGAAAUCUUACCAGUUACUGCCAAGAUGAGAAGUAUAACAGGAAGGAGGAGUGCUUAAGUGGCUUUAAUGACAAUUAAUUUCUACUGUUUAUCAAAUGACAGGUUGUUUUUUCCUCAAAACCCAAUUGUCAUGACAAGAUGCUUUUGGAAGUAAUUUUUGUAAAAUAAAACCACAGUUUUUAGGCUACAAAGAGCUAUUGUAUCUUACUAUUGAAUGUUGUCAUUAUGGUAAAAGGCUGGAAAGUCUAUUUUUGAAGUAAUUUAACUUGCAUCAUUCAUUUAUUUUAACAUCUGUUGAAUGCCAUGUGAAAAGUUUCUUGCUGGAAUUCUUUUAUUCAAUGGAAUACUUAGUGUUACAAUGCUUAAUUUAUUAAUGUCUGAAUUAUUGUUGCCCUAACCUCCUGCAAAAAUUUUCUUUUUAGUAAUUCUUAAACAAAUAACAAAUGAAUGAGGUUUUGUCCAUUUUGUGUUUUGAGCAGCAUAUUUUCCCUUUCAGUGAAGGUGUCUUCAGUUUUUGGAAUGACACAACAGAAAGGUGUCUUGGUUUUUGUUUUUUUUUUUUUUUCCCCAACAGCACAUGUCUUUUGUGCAAUGAUUUUUUAAUAUGUACACUGCCAAGAUACAAUUACUGGAAGGAGAGAGAGAAGCUGUUGGGAAUGUCAUGUUAUGCCAAAUUAAGAAUUAUUAGCUCUUACUUUCUGUGCAAUCUCUUCGACUAGAACUCGACCUAUUGCGUCUGGCGCGUACUUUGACUCUAGUGGAACUAAUGUGUCCUUGGAGUAGCAUUUCAGAGUAACUUCAGAUUCAUGCUUUUUCACAAGUCUGCUUUAAACUGGUGGGAUUAACUUCAGAGAAGGCGAGAGAUACAGGCUCCUUUGUCAGCAGCUGUGCUGGGUAAAGAAGGAGGCUUCGUGCACGCUUGCUUGCCCAUUCUCUCCCUGCUAGGGAAGCAGACUGAGCUGUUUCCCUGAGCACACGCAGACUGGCUUCAGCCAAAGUGAAUCCUGUUAUCAAAUAUUAGUUAUCAGUGCCCUGGGUCAGUGUGAUGAAAGGACAGGGCGUGCACAGACCAGCUGUGCAGACGUCAUGUCUGGGAAGGGUGCUGUGUUGACAAGAGUUGCUGAGGGCUGGCCCUGCUGUGUCGCCUUUUCAGCAGGUGCGGUUACAUCUCUCGGAUGUGGUAAAAAUUGGACGUGUUAGAAAGCUGUGCAGAUCUGUCAUGCAUAAUAUUCACAUUCCAGGGACACCCUGGAUAAUGCAGAAUAAACCCAUGCUCUUUGACUUACUCCUU